GUCAACCGUUUUAUAAGCCGAGGUAAAAAUGAAUUAGAAACCGAAUGAAGCUAUUUCCGUUUUAACUUAAUCGAUGAAACUGUCUUAGAAGAAGCCUUCCGAAAUCGCCCCUUAAUCUUAUCAUUGAUAUCUCCGGGGACAGGAUCGCAUUUCUCUCCACUCCGUUGACCGGCAAAUGUGGCGGACCUGGAAAGUUUUGCAUUUCUCUCCACUCCGUUGACCGGCAAAUGUGGCGGACCUGGAAAGUUUUUUUGCGUCAAGCCACUAGCCAAGGCCACAGCCACAGCGGCAACUGAACUGACUGGUGGCAGUGUCGUCCACUGGCUGCAAGAAAAAUAUAAUGCAAUGCUGCCUUAUACUAUAAAUUGAUAACAGGAGAGAUGAUCGAUGCGCACGAACGGAGCCGAGAACUGUCACGAUGCAAAUCUGGUGCGUGAUGGGGGCGCCGCCGCUUGCUAACGCUGGUGCAGCUCGUCGUGGCAGUCUGGCUGGCGACGGCGAGGGGCUGCCUCUGCCGGCGCUUCAUCCCACCCUGCGGCCACACGCCGCCGCCGCCAACACUGACGAUGCCGCCGCCGCCGCCGGGCGUCCCUCCUCAUGCGUCUCCAGACUAGCGCGCGUGUUGGAUGUCCACUCAAGCCAGCUAGCUAUCCAUUAUCAGUUCGAUCGGGCUAGCUAAUCAGCAGGGGUCGCUCCAAUUUUUUAUUUUUUGCAGCUCCGCCGCCGCCACACCGUUACCCUCCGAUCUGCUUCCGUCCGUACUGCCAUCCACCGCCGAUCUGCCCGCACUGCACGCGGCCACGUCCCGCCACCGCCGCCGCCAGAACUGACGCCGCCGCCGCCGCCGCCAACACUGCCGCCACCGACGGGCACCCAUCCUCCUCCUCCACCGCAACACCACCCUUUCCCUCCAUGGUGCAUUGGCGGCCGGUGCCCGCCGCGCCGCCGCCGGUCUGCCCACCUGAAGGCGGCUGCUCCGGCCAAAGCCCGCCUUAACUUAGCUUCAACAGUUAACAUCUUCAUGACCAAUCAUCCUGUCGAGAUUCCACGCAUCUCAUCGACUAUAUAGUCUACAGGUAUAUGGAUGGAUGUGAUGAGCUAGGCAGCCCAGCGCCGCCAAUAUGUAUUUGAAUGUGAUCGGGAACUUAAAAUAAAAGAUGUAUCGCGCACAAAAUGCAUAGUUUAAAACUAGUUAAACUCGUAUUACCUGUGAUUACCGGGCUUCAAAAAAUUGUUGA